GCCGGGGUGGCAGAGUGGACUAACGCGCGGGCCUUGAGAGCCCGUGGCCCCUAGUGGGCCUCGUGGGUUCAAAUCCCACCCCCGGCG
rnacentral:tRNA from 1 species